GUCUUACUGAGCUCCUUCUUGUACAACAGCAUUUGCAGCGUCCUUCACCUCACUCCCGAUUUGUUGCCAGCCAUCAUCUAUGAUGAGAAAACGAGGAGGCGUAUGUCCCUCCGUCAAGCUGACAGAUUAAAUACAUGAGUGACAUCAGUGUAGAAAGCGUCCCAGGUGCACCAGCCAAACCAGUCGAUGAACGAGGGCAACUGCACAGUCGGAAUUUGACAUAAGCAUACUCUGUAAUAUUUCAAAAUCCCUCUACACUCCAGCAGUUACAAAAAACAAUCAAGCAACAUAUUCUCACCUUCUUCUUCUCUCUGUGCUGAAAUGUUUGCAAGUGUUUCUCCACAGCUCUGUUUCAGAAAAAUUUCGCCGUAUUAUAUUAGUGUGAAUUGGAAAGAGGUUGAAACGAA